CCUACGGGAGGCAGCAGUAAGGAAUAUUGGACAAUGGACGCAAGUCUGAUCCAGCCAUGCCGCGUGAAGGAUUAAGGCCCUCUGGGUUGUAAACUUCUUUUAUAGGGGACGAAAAAAGGGCUUUCUAGCUCGUCUGACGGUACCCUAUGAAUAAGCACCGGCUAACUCCGUGCCAGCAGCCGCGGUAAUACGGAGGGUGCAAGCGUUAUCCGGAUUCACUGGGUUUAAAGGGUGCGUAGGCGGGCAGUUAAGUCAGUGGUGAAAUCUUCGAGCUCAACUCGGAAACUGCCAUUGAUACUAUCUGUCUUGAAUACUGUGGAGGUGAGCGGAAUAUGUCAUGUAGCGGUGAAAUGCUUAGAUAUGACAUAGAACACCGAUUGCGAAGGCAGCUCGCUACACAAAUAUUGACGCUGAGGCACGAAAGCGUGGGGAUCAAACAGGAUUAGAUACCCUGGUAGUCCACGCCCUAAACUAUAGGAUACUCGACAUUUGCGAUACACAGUAAGUGUCUGAGCGAAAGCAUUAAGUAUCCACCUGGGAAGUUAGACCGCAGGUUGAACUUCAAGGAUUGACGG
rnacentral:rRNA from 1 species